GAUGAACGCUGGCGGCGUGCCUAAUACAUGCAAGUCGAGCGAAUUGACAGAGGUGCUUGCACCUCUCGAUUUUAGCGGCGGACGGGUGAGUAACACGUUGGCAAUCUGCCCGUAAGACUGGGAUAACUACGGGAAACCGGGGCUAAUACCGGAUAAUUCCGAUCCUCGCCUGAGGAACGGCUGAAAGACGGUUUCGGCUGUCACUUCCGGAUGAGCCCGCGGCGCAUUAGCGAGUUGGUGGGGUAAUGGCCCACCAAGGCGACGAUGCGUAGCCGACCUGAGAGGGUGAUCGGCCACACUGGGACUGAGACACGGCCCAGACUCCUACGGGAGGCAGCAGUAGGGAAUCUUCCGCAAUGGACGAAAGUCUGACGGAGCAACGCCGCGUGGGUGAAGAAGGUUUUCGGAUCGUAAAACUCUGUUGUUAGGGAAGAACACGUAUGGGAGUAACUGCCCGUACCUUGACGGUACCUAACCAGAAAGCCACGGCUAACUACGUGCCAGCCGCCGCAGUAAUAC
rnacentral:rRNA from 1 species